rnacentral:rRNA from 1 species
AUGCAGUCGAACGGUGAUAGCAAUAUCAUAGUGGCGCACGGGUGCGUAACACGUAUGCAACCUACCUAUUAUUGGGGGAUAGCCUUUGGAAACGGAGAUUAAUACCGCAUAAUACGAUUGACUGGCAUCGGUUGAUUGUUAAAGCUUUGGCGAUAAUAGAUGGGCAUGCGUCCAAUUAGUUAGUUGGUUAGGUAACGGCUGACCAAGACGAUGAUUGGUAGGGGGUCUGAGAGGAUAAUCCCCCACACUGGCACUGAGAUACGGGCCAGACUCCUACGGGAGGCAGCAGUAGGGAAUAUUGGGCAAUGGGCGGAAGCCUGACCCAGCCAUGCCGCGUGCAGGAAGAAGGCGUUAUGCGUUGUAAACUGCUUUUUUAUAGGAAGAAGGAUCCCUUGCGAGGGAAGGUGACGGUACUAUAAGAAUAAGCACCGGCUAACUCCGUGCCAGCAGCCGCGGUAAUACGGAGGGUGCAAGCGUUGUCCGGAUUUAUUGGGUUUAAAGGGUGCGUAGGCGGUUUAUUAAGUCAGUGGUGAAAGACGGUCGCUCAACGAUUGCAGUGCCAUUGAUACUGGUAGACUUGAGUGAGAUUGAGGUAGCUGGAAUGGAUAGUGUAGCGGUGAAAUGCAUAGAUAUUAUCCAGAACACCGAUUGCGAAGGCAGGUUACUAAGUCUUAACUGACGCUGAG